AGAGUUUGAUCCUGGCUCAGGAUGAACGCUGGCGGCAUGCCUAAUACAUGCAAGUCGAACGAGGGUCCUUCGGGACUCGAGUGGCGAACGGGUGAGUAACACGUAGGGAACCUGCCCGUGCGACCGGGAGAACUUUCGGAAACGGAAGCUGAUACCGGAUAGGGACAGAGACGGCAUCGACUCUGUGUUAAAGGAGCUGAAAGGCUCCGCGCACGGAUGGACCUGCGGUGCAUUAGCUAGUUGGUGAGGUAACGGCCCACCAAGGCGACGAUGCAUAGCCGGCCUGAGAGGGCGGACGGCCACACUGGGACUGAGACACGGCCCAGACUCCUACGGGAGGCAGCAGUAGGGAAUUUUCGUCAAUGGGCGCAAGCCUGAACGAGCAAUGCCGCGUGAACGAGGAAGGUCUUCGGAUCGUAAAGUUCUGUUGAAGGGGAAAAAGAGCGGAGAGAGGAAAUGAACUCCGAUUGAUAUUACCCUUCGAGGAAGUCACGGCUAACUACGUGCCAGCAGCCGCGGUAAUACGUAGGUGGCGAGCGUUAUCCGGAAUGAUUGGGCGUAAAGGGUGCGUAGGCGGCCUGCUAAGUCUGGAGUGAAAGGUACCGGCUCAACCGGUACAGGCUCUGGAAACUGGCGGGCUAGAGAGCAGGAGAGGGCGGUGGAACUCCAUGUGUAGCGGUAAAAUGCGUAGAUAUAUGGAAGAACACCAGUGGCGAAGGCGGCCGCCUGGCCUGUUACUGACGCUGAGGCACGAAAGCGUGGGGAGCAAAUAGGAUUAGAUACCCUAGUAGUCCACGCCGUAAACGAUGAGGACCAAGUGUUGGGGAAGACCCAGUGCUGCAGUUAACGCAGUGAGUCCUCCGCCUGGGGAGUAUGCACGCAAGUGUGAAACUCAAAGGAAUUGACGGGAGCCCGCACAAGCGGUGGAGUAUGUGGUUUAAUUCGAAGCAACGCGAAGAACCUUACCAGGCCUUGACAUAGGGUGCGAAGCUAUGGAGACAUAGUGGAGGUAAACAUCCAUACAGGUGGUGCAUGGUUGUCGUCAGCUCGUGUCGUGAGAUGUUCAGUUAAGUCUGGCAACGAGCGCAACCCUCGUGAUGUGUUACCAAUAUCGAGUUAGGGACUCACAUCAGACUGCCGGUGAGAAACCGGAGGAAGGCGGGGAUGACGUCAAAUCAUCAUGCCCCUUAUGGCCUGGGCUACACACGUACUACAAUGGCGGCGACAGAGGGCAGCGAGCCUGCGAAGGCAAGCGAAUCCCCAAAAAGCCGUCCCAGUUCGGAUUGGAGUCUGCAACCCGACUCCAUGAAGUUGGAAUCGCUAGUAAUCGCGGAUCAGCAUGCCGCGGUGAAUACGUUCUCGGGCCUUGCACACACCGCCCGUCA
rnacentral:rRNA from 1 species